rnacentral:rRNA from 1 species
CCAAGUUUUUAAGGGCGCACGGUGGAUGCCUUGGCACCAGGAACCGAUGAAGGACGUGGGAGGCCGCGAUAGGCCCCGGGGAGCUGUCAACCGAGCUGUGAUCCGGGGGUGUCCGAAUGGGGAAACCCGGCAGUCGUCAUGGGCUGUCACCCACCGCUGAAUAUAUAGGCGGUGUGGAGGGAACGCGGGGAAGUGAAACAUCUCAGUACCCGCAGGAAGAGAAAACAACCGUGAUUCCGGGAGUAGUGGCGAGCGAAACCGGAUGAGGCCAAACCGUAUGCGUGUGAUACCCGGCAGGGGUUGCGUGUGCGGGGUUGUGGGAUCUCUUUUCUACGGUCUGCCGGCCGUGGGACGAGUCAGAAACCGUAUGUGUAGGCGAAGGACAUGCGAAAGGUCCGGCGUAGAGGGUAAGACCCCCGUAGCUGAAACAUGUACGGCUCGUUUGAGAGACACCCAAGUAGCACGGGGCCCGAGAAAUCCUGUGUGAAUCUGGCGGGACCACCCGCUAAGCCUAAAUAUUCCCUGGUGACCGAUAGCGGAUAGUACCGUGAGGGAAUGGUGAAAAGUACCGCGGGAGCGGAGUGAAAUAGUACCUGAAACCGUGUGCCUACAAGCCGUGGGAGCGUCGCUGUUGUUCUUCGGAACUUCAGUCGUGACUGCGUGCCUUUUGAAGAAUGAGCCUGCGAGUUAGCGGUGUGUAGCGAGGUUAACCCGUGUGGGGUAGCCGUAGCGAAAGCGAGUCCGAAUAGGGCGACUGAGUUGCACGCUCUAGACCCGAAGCGGAGUGAUCUAGCCAUGGGCAGGUUGAAGCGGCUGUAAGAGGUCGUGGAGGACCGAACCCACCAGGGUUGAAAACCUGGGGGAUGACCUGUGGUUAGGGGUGAAAGGCCAAUCAAACUCCGUGAUAGCUGGUUCUCCCCGAAAUGCAUUUAGGUGCAGCGUCGUGUGUUUCUUGCCGGAGGUAGAGCACUGGAUAGGCGAUGGGCCCUACCGGGUUACUGACCUUAGCCAAACUCCGAAUGCCGGUAAGUGAGAGCGCGGCAGUGAGACUGUGGGGGAUAAGCUCCAUGGUCGAGAGGGAAACAGCCCAGAGCAUCGACUAAGGCCCCUAAGCGUACGCUAAGUGGGAAAGGAUGUGGAGUCGCAGAGACAACCAGGAGGUUGGCUUAGAAGCAGCCACCCUUGAAAGAGUGCGUAAUAGCUCACUGGUCAAGUGAUUCCGCGCCGACAAUGUAGCGGGGCUCAAGCGUACCGCCGAAGUCGUGUCAUUGCAGCAUUACUCCUAACGGGGGCUGUGAUGGGUAGGGGAGCGUCGUGUGCCGGGUGAAGCAGCCGUGGAAGCGAGUUGUGGACGGUUCACGAGUGAGAAUGCAGGCAUGAGUAGCGAUUCCAGAGUGAGAAACUCUGGCGCCGAUUGACUAAGGGUUCCUGGGUCAAGCUGAUCUGCCCAGGGUAAGUCGGGACCUAAGGCGAGGCCGACAGGCGUAGUCGAUGGACAACCGGUUGAUAUUCCGGUACCCGCUUUGAAGCGCCAAACAUCGAGGCAGGCGAUGCUAAGUCCGUGAAGCCGCCUUUGAUCCCUUCGGGGUGAUGGGGAGUGGUGGAGCCGACGGACCAGACUUGUAUUAGGUGAGUGAUGGGGUGACGCAGGAAGGUAGUCCAGCCCGGGCGGUGGUUGUCCCGGGGUAAGGGUGUAGGCCGGUGUGUAGGUAAAUCCGCACACCUUGUGGCUGAGACCUGAUGCCGAGCCGAUUGUGGUGAAGUGGAUGAUCCUAUGCUGUCGAGAAAAGCCUCUAGCGAGUUUCAUGGCGGCCCGUACCCUAAACCGACUCAGGUGGUCAGGUAGAGAAUACCGAGGCGUUCGGGUGAACUAUGGUUAAGGAACUCGGCAAAAUGCCCCCGUAACUUCGGGAGAAGGGGGGCCACACCCGGUGAUCUGUUUUACACGGUGAGCUGGGGGUGGCCGCAGAGACCAGCGAGAAGCGACUGUUUACUAAAAACACAGGUCCGUGCGAAGCUGUAAGGCGAUGUAUACGGACUGACGCCUGCCCGGUGCUGGAACGUUAAGGGGACCGGUUAGAUACUCUUCGGGGUGUCGAAGCUGAGAACUUAAGCGCCAGUAAACGGCGGUGGUAACUAUAACCAUCCUAAGGUAGCGAAAUUCCUUGUCGGGUAAGUUCCGACCUGCACGAAUGGCGUAACGACUUCUCGACUGUCUCAACCAUAGGCCCGGUGAAAUUGCACUACGAGUAAAGAUGCUCGUUUCGCGCAGCAGGACGGAAAGACCCCGGGACCUUUACUAUAGCUUGAUAUUGGUGUUCGGUUCGGCUUGUGUAGGAUAGGUGGGAGACUUUGAACUCUGGACGCCAGUUCAGGGGGAGUCGUCGUUGAAAUACCACUCUGGUCGUGCUGGAUGUCUAACCUCGGUCCGUGAUCCGGAUCAGGGACAGUGUCUGGUGGGUAGUUUAACUGGGGCGGUUGCCUCCCAAAGGGUAACGGAGGCGCCCAAAGGUUCCCUCAGCCUGGUUGGUAAUCAGGUGGUGAGUGUAAGUGCACAAGGGAGCUUGACUGUGAGACUGACGGGUCGAGCAGGGACGAAAGUCGGGACUAGUGAUCCGGCGGUGGCUUGUGGAAGCGCCGUCGCUCAACGGAUAAAAGGUACCCCGGGGAUAACAGGCUGAUCUUCCCCAAGAGUCCAUAUCGACGGGAUGGUUUGGCACCUCGAUGUCGGCUCGUCGCAUCCUGGGGCUGGAGUCGGUCCCAAGGGUUGGGCUGUUCGCCCAUUAAAGCGGUACGCGAGCUGGGUUUAGAACGUCGUGAGACAGUUCGGUCCCUAUCCGCUGUGCGCGUAGGAGUCUUGAGAAGGGCUGUCCCUAGUACGAGAGGACCGGGACGGACGAACCUCUGGUGUGCCAGUUGUUCUGCCAAGGGCAUGGCUGGUUGGCUACGUUCGGGAGGGAUAACCGCUGAAAGCAUCUAAGCGGGAAGCCUGCUUCGAGAUGAGGACUCCCACCCACUUGAUGGGGUAAGGCUCCCAGUAGACGACUGGGUUGAUAGGCCAGAUAUGGAAGCCUGGUAACGGGUGGAGUUGACUGGUACUAAUAGGCCGAGGGCUUGUCCAU